AUGAUUUACAUUUGAGUGAGUGGCGAACUGGUGAGUAACACGUGGGAAACCUGCCCAGAAGCGGGGGAUAACACCUGGAAACAGAUGCUAAUACCGCAUAACAACUUGGACCGCAUGGUCCGAGUUUGAAAGAUGGCUUCGGCUAUCACUUUUGGAUGGUCCCGCGGCGUAUUAGCUAGAUGGUGGGGUAACGGCUCACCAUGGCAAUGAUACGUAGCCGACCUGAGAGGGUAAUCGGCCACAUUGGGACUGAGACACGGCCCAAACUCCUACGGGAGGCAGCAGUAGGGAAUCUUCCACAAUGGACGAAAGUCUGAUGGAGCAACGCCGCGUGAGUGAAGAAGGGUUUCGGCUCGUAAAACUCUGUUGUUAAAGAAGAACAUAUCUGAGAGUAACUGUUCAGGUAUUGACGGUAUUUAACCAGAAAGCCACGGCUAACUACGUGCCAGCAGCCGCGGUAAUACGUAGGUGGCAAGCGUUGUCCGGAUUUAUUGGGCGUAAAGCGAGCGCAGGCGGUUUUUUAAGUCUGAUGUGAAAGCCUUCGGCUCAACCGAAGAAGUGCAUCGGAAACUGGGAAACUUGAGUGCAGAAGAGGACAGUGGAACUCCAUGUGUAGCGGUGAAAUGCGUAGAUAUAUGGAAGAACACCAGUGGCGAAGGCGGCUGUCUGGUCUGUAACUGACGCUGAGGCUCGAAAGUAUGGGUAGCAAACAGGAUUAGAUACCCUGGUAGUCCAUACCGUAAACGAUGAAUGCUAAGUGUUGGAGGGUUUCCGCCCUUCAGUGCUGCAGCUAACGCAUUAAGCAUUCCGCCUGGGGAGUACGGCCGCAAGGCUGAAACUCAAAGGAAUUGACGGGGGCCCGCACAAGCGGUGGAGCAUGUGGUUUAAUUCGAAGCUACGCGAAGAACCUUACCAGGUCUUGACAUACUAUGCAAAUCUAAGAGAUUAGACGUUCCCUUCGGGGACAUGGAUACAGGUGGUGCAUGGUUGUCGUCAGCUCGUGUCGUGAGAUGUUGGGUUAAGUCCCGCAACGAGCGCAACCCUUAUUAUCAGUUGCCAGCAUUAAGUUGGGCACUCUGGUGAGACUGCCGGUGACAAACCGGAGGAAGGUGGGGAUGACGUCAAAUCAUCAUGCCCCUUAUGACCUGGGCUACACACGUGCUACAAUGGAUGGUACAACGAGUUGCGAACUCGCGAGAGUAAGCUAAUCUCUUAAAGCCAUUCUCAGUUCGGAUUGUAGGCUGCAACUCGCCUACAUGAAGUCGGAAUCGCUAGUAAUCGCGGAUCAGCAUGCCGCGGUGAAUACGUUCCCGGGCCUUGUACACACCGCCCGUCACACCAUCAGAGU
rnacentral:rRNA from 1 species